rnacentral:lncRNA from 1 species
AUGUGGAAGUUGCAUGCAAAUAUCCCUUCUCUCUCCCUCUCGCUAGCUGCACACAACUUCCACACGAAGGACGUCUGUAUUUACAAAGACUGCGGUAGGCCCUGGAUUUCCAUCCUCCCAGAGGAUGGGCUGGUAAGUGCUGUGUGCUCCCGAUGCAGGACAGCUCCAGGUAGGAGCACCAUAUAUUAUUUAGGCCUCAAGACAAUUAGUUUAGAAUGCCUUUUUUUUUUUUUUUUGAUAAUAUUUUUGAGAAACAGCAUUACAAAAGGUUAAACAUAGAACAGAUGUAAGUUAUAAAAUACAAGCUGAUCAAAGCUCAGAUUUUGAGACAGAUAUGUUAGCAAAUGAUGAUAAAUCAGUCCCACUAGAAUUGUAAGAAGCAGACAAAUGUAACUGCAAGAGUGAAAGUCAAGAGUUGAAAACAGGGAAAGGAAGAAAAAGAGUGGAAACAAAUGUUGAAGUUAAUUCUAGACAACUUGUAUAGAACAUCAACUGCCUAUAUUCCACAAAAAGGGAAUAUUAUCUACUGACACACCCAAUUUGCCUUCAACAUGGGACUCAAAUGCUUUAAAAUCUUAAUAUUUGCUUAAUAUAUACAAAUUUCUACCCAUUUCCUCUUUUAGUAGCUGGUCUUCUUAAAAGAUUUCCAAUUUCAACAAGAUCUGUGCUAUCAUAAAGCUGUAAAAGGGCUAGAAAAUUUUAUAAAAGCAGGUACUAACUGGAAAGCUGAAACCACUUUUAGUCACCCUGCCGAUUUAAAAAACAAAACAAAACAAAAACUUCUAAACGCAUCUAAGUUCACACAAAAUGUAUAGAAAUUCAGACAUUUGAAUGAAAGUCGAGGGUUCAAUUUCUUCCCCUUUCGUAGGCAAAUAAAUAAAACGCAGUGAGAAGCA